GACGUAGGGCGCGAGCGUUGUCCGGAUUUAUUGGGCGUAAAGAGCUCGUAGGCGGCUUGUUGCGUCGACUGUGAAAACCCGCGGCUUAACCGCGGGCUUGCAGUUGAUACGGGCAGGCUAGAGUUCGGUAGGGGAGACUGGAAUUCCUGGUGUAGCGGUGAAAUGCGCAGAUAUCAGGAGGAACACCGGUGGCGAAGGCGGUUCUCUGGGCCUUACCUGACGCUGAGGAGCGAAAGCGUGGGGAGCGAACAGG
rnacentral:rRNA from 1 species